GCCGGGCUUGGUGGUGUGCGCCUGUAGUCCCAGCUACUCAGGAGGCUGAGGCAGGAGAACUGCUUGAACCCAGGAGUUGGAGGCUGCAGUGAGCCGAGAUUGCGCCACUGCACUCCAGCCUGGGUGACAGAGUAAGACUCUGCCUCAA
rnacentral:SRP_RNA from 1 species